rnacentral:rRNA from 1 species
GAUGAACGCUGCGGCGUGCCUAAUCCAUGCAAGUCGAGCGAACAGACGAGGAGCUUGCUCCUCUGACGUUAGCGGCGGACGGGUGAGUAACACGUGGAUAACCUACCUAUAAGACUGGGAUAACUUCGGGAAACCGGAGUUAAUACCGGAUAAUAUAUUGAACCGCAUGGUUCAAUAGUGAAAGACGGUUUUGCUGUCACUUAUAGAUGGAUCCGCGCCGCAUUAGCUAGUUGGUAAGGUAACGGCUUACCAAGGCGACGAUGCGUAGCCGACCUGAGAGGGAGGUUGGCUACCCUGGAUCAGAGACAGGGCCGAGACACCUGCAGGAGGACGCAGUACGGAAUCUUACGCGAGGGGGCAGUGCGUGACGGAGCACAGUCGCGGGAGUGAUGAAGGUGUUAGGCUCGGUGAGCUCUGUUAUUAGGGAAGAACAAAUGUGUAAGUAACUAUGAACGUAUUGACGGUACCUAAUCAGAAAGCCCCGGCUAACUACGUG